rnacentral:lncRNA from 13 species
CACACUACCACUGAUUGUCCCUCAAUGUGUAUUGUGUAAUCAGCUCACUACAAACAUAGUAGAACAACAGUUCACUUCUAACUGUAGAAACUGGCUUCACUUCUACUGUAGAAACUGGCUUCACUUCUACUGUAGAAACUGGCUUCACUUCUACUGUAGAAACUGGUUUAACUUCUAACUGUAGAAACUGGUUUAACUUCUAACUGUAGAAA